rnacentral:rRNA from 1 species
AUUGAACGCUAGCGGGAUGCUUUACACAUGCAAGUCGAACGGAGUGGCGGACGGGUGAGUAAUAUAUCGGACUGCGCCCAGUAGCGGGGGAUCAAUACUAGAAAGUGUCGCUUAUACCGCAUAAUCAUAGAGCGGCCGAUAUCGGAUUAGCUAGGUGGUGGGGUAAAGGCUCACCAAGGCAACGAUCCAUAGCUGGUUUGAGAGGACGACCAGCCACACUGGGACUGAGACACGGCCCAGACUCCUACGGGAGGCAGCAGUGGGGAAUUUUGGACAAUGGGCGAAACCCUGAUCCAGCCAUCCCGCGUGUAUGAAGAAGGCCUUCGGGUUGUAAAGUACUUUUGGCAGAGAAGCGGUAUCUGCAGAAUAAGCACCGGCUAACUACGUGCCAGCCGCCGCGGUAAUUC